rnacentral:lncRNA from 1 species
GACAAAUUUGUGUGUGUUAAUGGUAUUUAGAAAUGAAGUUUUAAACAUCAACUAAGUUUGUUGCCACCACUCUCUAUCAUCUUAUUGUGAUUCAUCUACAAACUGUAUGUUGAUUAUCCAAAAACAUGCUACAGCUGUGUUAAUUAAGAUGCUCGAUUAUAGCUAUGACAUAUUCUUAGUUUACAAUUAAUACUUCUAAGUUACACUAAAUCAUUACUUUACAAUCCAUUAAAUGGACUCUUGUGUAAUAAAAUCUCUUGCAAUGAACUGUUUACUUUAGAUACUUUGCAAUUCAUGAUUUUUGUUAGUUUUAUUAUUUUGAGGUGAUACUAUGUUAUAUUUUUUUGUUUUUAUAAAAAUUCAUCAACUAUCACAUUUAUUAUUAUUUGUAGUCUAUUAUCAAGUUUUAUUACAUUUAAUUAAUUUUCGAAUUUAAUUUUUAGCUGCGGCAUUUUUACAUAAAACUUGUAAAUGAUUAAAUUAAACAUAUAUAAAAAUAAUACCAAAGUUAAAUCUGUUUAUUUGCAUAACAUACAAGAACAACCAACAUUACCCCUUGGAAAUUUAUGGAGAAAACAAUAUUUUGAAUGUAAAGAAGAUAACCAUUUAAUCUGUUUUCCAAAACUAUGAAUUAAGAAAGAAGUAAAAUGAAACAUUUACUACAUAUAUUCUAUUUAUAUCAUUACAUAACUUAUUUAUACAAGUAUACGUUAUUAAUUCAAAGACAUCGAGGAGUGGAUAAAAUAUAAAACCUUAACUCCAUUUGUUAAAUGGUCGCCCAAAAUGAAUGAAGAUCAUUCAAUGCUUUUGUUCAUGUGUAUAUGAUUGAUUAAAUUAUUUUUAGAAAAAUUGUGUUGCUGUUAAUACCUCUUUUAUAACUGAUUUAAUUAUUUCGCUAUCAUAUUUUGUGAGGCAUUUUAAAGUUUCAAACUUCAUCAUCUGGUCAUUUUAAAACCUUCCACAACUUUUUUUUGCAAUUGCAGCCAUGAAAAGCAGGAUUAGUCAAUACUCAAUCAUUAGACUUGGACCCAGCAUAUUGUGAUUUUUUAAUUACGACCUUCAGGUAUAGUUGUAUGCAACAUCAAAAUACUUAAAAUUAUAUUUAGAACACCCUUGAAAUAGUAGAAGUUUAAUAAUUCAAAUU